rnacentral:rRNA from 1 species
GAUGAACGCUGGCGGCGUGCCUAAUACAUGCAAGUCGAGCGAACAGACGAGGAGCUUGCUCCUCUGACGUUAGCGGCGGACGGGUGAGUAACACGUGGAUAACCUACCUAUAAGACUGGGUUAACUUCGGGAAACCGGAGCUAAUACCGGAUAAUAUAUUGAACCGCAUGGUUCAAUAGUGAAAGACGGUUUUGCUGUCACUUAUAGAUGGAUCCGCGCCGCAUUAGCUGGUUGGUAAGGUAACGGCUUACCAAGGCAACGAUGCGUAGCCGACCUGAGAGGGUGAUCGGCCACACUGGAACUGAGACACGGUCCAGACUCUUACGGGAGGCAGCAGUAGGGAAUCUUCCGCAAUGGGCGAAAGCCUGACGGAGCAACGCCGCGUGAGUGAUGAAGGUCUUCGGAUCGUAAAACUCUGUUAUUAGGGAAGAACAAAUGUGUAAGUAACUAUGCACGUCUUGACGGUACCUAAUCAGAAAGCCACGGCUAACUACGUG